rnacentral:rRNA from 1 species
CCAAAAGCUGGCGACCGGCGCACGGGUGAGUAACACGUAUCCAACCUGCCGAUAACUCGGGGAUAGCCUUUCGAAAGAAAGAUUAAUACCCGAUGGUAUAAUCAGACCGCAUGGUCUUGUUAUUAAAGAAUUUCGGUUAUCGAUGGGGAUGCGUUCCAUUAGGCAGUUGGUGAGGUAACGGCUCACCAAACCUUCGAUGGAUAGGGGUUCUGAGAGGAAGGUCCCCCACAUUGGAACUGAGACACGGUCCAA